CUGGACGCGGGCGGUGCUCACCCCCGGUUAUCCUCCACCGUCCCCGCAAGCCGUUUCCAGGCAGUAAUCCCGGGCGGGCGAGGUCCCCUGCGUGCCGGCGCGGCCCCGAGUGUGCCCUGACGCCCAGUGUGCUACUUCACUUACUCCGAACAGUCCUAUUGUUCCUCCCAGCAGAGCCAUUGAAACGUUUGCAAAAUAGCAGAGGGUUCCAGAUGGGAGGAGCCAUUGUUCAAAGUCCAGACCACCCAGCGGGCAUGUCAGACCCGUAAGACGUUAUCCCCAACGGAAGAAACAAUGGCAGAGAAAGGAAAUCAUGUGUUUGCUGGGAGUGAAUUUUCCAGAAGGCACCUUGGCCUCAUGACACGGAAGGUCUGAUUCCAAUUCUGCCAGUGAAGAACUGAGAGACCCUGGACAAGUUGUCUCGCCUUUCUGAUCAAUUGCUAUACCUAAAAUAGAUAACCAAGGACAGAAAUUACAUUCCUCCGUAGAACCUUGUAAUGGUUUUAAGUAACUGAAGGACCAAGAAGAUAUUUACUCUUCGGCUAAAAUAUGGAGUCAUGCUCUGCCGCCCAGGCUGGAGUGCAAUGGC